GCCUGGCUGGCUCAGUUGGUAAAGCUCUUGAUUUCUUGAUCUUGGUUGUGAGUUCAAGCCUCACGCUGGGUG
rnacentral:tRNA from 1 species